UAGGGAAUCUUCCGCAAUGAACGCAAGUCUGACGGAGCAACGCCGCGUGAGUGAAGAAGGAUUUCGGUUCGUAAAACUCUGUUGUUAGAGAAGAACAGCGCAUAGAGUAACUGUUAUGCGUGUGACGGUAUCUAACCAGCAAGCCACGGCUAACUACGUGCCAGCAGCCGCGGUAAUACGAAGGUGGCGAGCGUUGUCCGGAUUUAUUUGGCGUAAAGCGAGCGCAGGCGGUCAAUUAAGUCUGAUGUGAAAGCCCCCGGCUCAACCGGGGAGGGUCAUUGGAAACUGGUUUGCUAGAGUGCGGAAGGGGAGAGUGGAAUUCCAUGUGUAGCGGAGAAAUGCGUAGUUAUAUGAAGAAACGCCAGUGGCGAAGGCGACUCUCUGGUCUGUAACUGACGCGGAGGCACGAAAGCGUGGGUAGCAAACAGA
rnacentral:rRNA from 1 species